AGAGAGUGUCAAUCUGUGC
rnacentral:siRNA from 1 species